rnacentral:rRNA from 1 species
AGCGAACGCUGGCGGCAGGCCUAACACAUGCAAGUCGAACGGACCCUUCGGGGUUAGUGGCGGACGGGUGAGUAACACGUGGGAACGUGCCUUUAGGUUCGGAAUAGCUCCUGGAAACGGGUGGUAAUGCCGAAUGUGCCCUUCGGGGGAAAGAUUUAUCGCCUUUAGAGCGGCCCGCGUCUGAUUAGCUAGUUGGUGAGGUAAAGGCUCACCAAGGCGACGAUCAGUAGCUGGUCUGAGAGGAUGGCCAGCCACAUUGGGACUGAGACACGGCCCAAACUCCUACGGGAGGCAGCAGUGGGGAAUCUUGCGCAAUGGGCGAAAGCCUGACGCAGCCAUGCCGCGUGUAUGAUGAAGGUCUUAGGAUUGUAAAAUACUUUCACCGGUGAAGAUAAUGACUGUAGCCGGAGAAGAAGCCCCGGCUAACUUCGUGCCAGCAGCCGCCGUAACAC